GACGAACGCUGGCGGCGUGCUUAACACAUGCAAGUCGAACGGAAAGGCCUGCUUUCCCUUGUGGAUUGCGGGUACUCGAGUGGCGAACGGGUGAGUAACACGUGAGUGAUCUGCCCCCAACUUGGGUAUAAGCCUGGGAAACUGGGUCUAAUUCCCGAUAGGACUGCAGGGUGGUGCCUGUGGUGGAAAACGAUUUUCUAGUGGUUGGGGAUGAGCUCGCGGCCUAUCAGCUUGUUGGUGGGGUAAUGGCCUACCAAGGCGGCGACGGGUAGCCGGCCUGAGAGGGUGGACGGGCACAUUGGGACUGAGAUACGGGCCAGACUACUACGGGAGGCAGCAGUGGGGAAUAUUGCACAAUGGGCGGAAGCCGGAUGCAGCGACGCCGCGUGGGGGAUGACGGCCUUCGGGUUGUAAACUCCUUUCGACCGCGAGGAAGCCACCUGGUUGGAAGGGUGGUGACGGUAGUGGUAGAAGAAACACCGGCUAACUACGU
rnacentral:rRNA from 1 species